CUAAGAAGUUUUAAUUCAAAAAAUAACAAAAGUAAGAGUUGCCUUAAAUGCCUCAAAAACCACUAACUCGAGGAAUUCCCUAAAUUAUAUCCUAUUUACGGGAUGCUCCUGAUAUUAAAUUGGCGUAUAUUCAAAUACGUAUUUAAUGGAGAUAUUGAAAAAAUGUAUCGUCAAAUAGUCAUACAUUAAGAGGACCAAGAUUUUUAACGUAUUAUGUUCCGAAAAUCCCCCAACAGUCCAUUACGCGACUUCAAAUUAAAAACAGUUACAUUUGGCGUUAACUGUGCACCAUAUUUAGCCAUCCGAACACUUCACGAAUUGACAAAAAAUACAAAGUCAGUAUUUCCUCUGGCAACGGAAGUGUUAAAAACUCAAACAUAUGGAGACGAUAUUUUGUCGGGAAGUCACACUAUUCCACACGCAUACGAAUCUUUAUCACAAGCAAUAAAAGCCCUCAAAUCCGCAUGGUUUCCAUUUACGCAAAUCACCCAAAUAUACUCAAAUAUACCAAACGAAAAUUUGUUGGACACUAAUUUCCUUAUAUCCAAAAUGGAAAGUACAACAAAAACUCUAGGCAUCCAAUGGAAUGCGAUAUCGGACGAAUUUUUAUACACGACUGAGUCCAUAGCCGCAUUAUCCGCCAUAACAAAAAACACAGAUUUUAUCAUCGGUGGCAAAACUUUUCGACCGCGCAGGAUGGCUUUCGCCAAUUAUGAUACAAGCGAAAAUCUUAAUACAAGAAUUAUGGCUAGAUGGAACCGAUUAGGAGGAACAAGUGAAACCUCUUCGCUUGAAAAAAUGGUCCCUGUUCGCCAACAAUAUGAAUGACAUUUCCCAGAAACAAACUCCACGAUGGAGGCUUCUGUGACGCCUCUGAGAAGGCAUACUGCGCUACUAUCUAUGUGCGCCCGCAAAGUGAAACCACGACAAUAAGCCACUUAUUAGUACCAAAAGCAAAAUUGGCUCCUUUAAAAACGCUAAAUCUACCACGACUUGGCUAUGUAGCGCUGUACUACUUUCCAAAUUAGGGGCCAUGGUUCCACCAUGCAUUUAAACAUGACAAAAUGCAAACUAUAUAUAUGGUCCGAUUCCGAAAUUGUACUAGACUGGUUGGAAAAACCACCACAUGCAUAGAAGACGUAUAUUUCUAAUCGAACGUCUCAAAUACUUGUCCUAGUGGGAUUAGCCACUUGGCGUCACGUAGCUAGUGCUGACAAUCCUGCCGAUCUAGGUACAAGAGGGUGCAAGCCACUGCACCUUGCCAUCACCAUUCUCUGGUGGAAUGGCCCCCGGUGGUUGAUAGAAUCUCCUGACUCUUGGCCACAAUCCCCAAUGCGCAACAUUAUCGCACCAGAAGGUCGAAAAAUCGCAACGUUUCAUACAUUAUUGGAUGAUGCCGACAUCCUUAAUCGAUUUUCAUCGCUUCCAAGAGCUCUCAGAGUAGUUCCUUAUAUGUUCAAAUUUAUCGAGCAACUCAAAAGCAAAGUCAAAGGAUUACAUAAUUUCUCAUGCAACAUAGAGACGCAUCUAGAAUUACAAAAGGCAAAGGUCGCACUAAUCGCAUAUACACAAGUGCGCUACUUCAGCCGCGAUAUAUCACUACUAAGAGAAUCGAAGCCGAUUAAUAAAAAGAGUUAGUUCUAAACCCAUUUCUGGACACGAAAGGUCUUCUUCGUGCCAAUGGCGGGCUUGCUAUUUCAAGCCAGACCUACAACGAACGCCACCCCAUAAUAAUUCUAGAGAGGUCUCCAUUUGCCACAUUAUUCCCCAAUACAUCCACAUAUUAAUACUACACGCCGAACAUCGCCUCAUGCAACAUAUGGUGCGCCAAGCGUAUUAUAUUCCCCGUCUUAAGCCCCAAAUCAAGAAGUGCAUCUUCACGUGCAAGAUUUUCACUAAGCACAAGCAGAAGAUGCGAACGCAGAUUAUGGCAGCACUUCCACCUGUACGCUGCAAUUACACUCUGCCUUUCACCACAACAAGUGUUUCACUGGGCUUUUCAGGUAAAGGAGUCCAUGUUAAGGUCUCCCACUCUCAUGAAAGGCUAUGUGGCUAUCUUUUUGUGUUUCCCCACAAAUGCCAUAUACUUUGAGCUAUGUAGUAAUCUGAGGACGGAGAGUUUUCUCGAGGCAUUUGCUCGCUUCGUCGCUCGACGUCGCUACACAUCAAAAAUCAUGGACGAUAACGCAAAACAUUCAUUGGAGCUCAACGAGCCACAGAAAAGCAGUUUGUGGAUUUCCUAAAACAAGUGUCACCUUACAUUGUACAAAAGUACGCCGCUCAGGCAUCAAUUGACAAUUUAUAAUCCCAAGCGCUCCUCAUAUGGGCGAUUUUGGGAAUCAGCUUUAAAAAUUUUCAAAUCCCACCUCAAGUGGGUAGAUGGAAAUACAAAUUCAAUUAUGAAGAGUUCACAACGUUAUUAAAUUGAAUUGAAGCCGUUCUCAAUUCACGGCUACUCACAGUACUAUCGCAAGACUCAUCAAAUUUCACCGCCUUAACUCUAGGUCAUUUUCUAAAAGGAGCACCCAUUCUGGCCAUUCCUGAGCUAGGCGUGAAGUCGCUGUCCCUAUUAAAUCGAUGGGAAAGAACUGAAAUUCUCCAUCACAAUUUCAGGCGUCGAUGGAAAGACGAAUACAUAAAGGAUCUCCACAAAAGAUACCGGUGGAAGACUCCUGAGAAAGCGCCUAAACUUGGAGAUUAUGUUCUCAUCCAUGAUGUUUGUCUGCCCCCUACCAAGGGGCGGCUUGGCCGCAUGGAAAUGCUACAUUACGGCUCCAACCAUCACAUACGAGUCGUUGAUCUCCGUACGCAAAACGGAACGCUAAUCAGACCGUUCGUGAAGCUGUACUUUCUACCAACCACUGACGAUCGCGAUUCCGCAAACCGCUAUAAACAAACCGAUAUUAUCGCGAUACAAUAAAUUCAUUAAAUUUAACAAUAAAACGAAAAUACGCCCAUAACAACGUUUCAAAUUAACAAAUCGUACAAAAUAACCAAGAACACAAAAAAUGGUUGAUUAAUACGACGACACAUUCAUGCCCCAUAUCGUGGCACGAUCACCAUGUCGAAUUAUCUGAUAGAAAUGUAUAAUCAGCAAUCUUCUCAAUACAGAUUAAGUUGGAUGUUGAUACGCCAGUAGCAACUACGCCAACCGCUCGGGCGGCUACCAAUGUGCCACGCACCAAGUUUGUACCAACGCCCCGAGCUGCAGUUGCAACAGUACUGGCCGCUGCACCGGUAACAACGCCGGCACUUGUACCUGCAAUGGUACUUGCACCCGCACCUCGUGGUGGCACCCGAUCUCGACCGACGCCGGAGGUCCAUCGGAUAAGAUGGCCUAUCUGUCGCCGCCCACAUCGUCUACACCAUUCUGGCCUAUUUAGGGCUAUGCGACCCUUGCAACGGCAGCAAGUUACACAAGCACACGGGCAUUAUCAAAACUGCCUUUGGCACACUCAUACGACUCCAGAUUGUGAGUCAAGAGAGCGGUGCUAAUUUUUAACAGGCCGCAUCACACGCUUCUACAUGGCAGCUCGCUACACGAAAUGAAUCGGCCACCCAUCCAUUGCGGAGGCGUAACACGACUUCCACCCACAACUCGUGUCGUACACCAGCGGAGUGGAACCUUGUUGGGGCGUCGACACCGUACUGCUCAAUACUGGCGGUAGAAAUUCUUUUGAAAAGAAUGGACGCCGAUCGGUAAUAGAUAUUACAUUCGCCAGCAGCACGCAGGUUCGAUCUGCGAAUUGGAAAGUGUGCGACUUUUACACACAUAGCGAUCACCUGGCCAUCUUGCUGGAAAUCUGCAAGCAAAUACAAACUCGAUCCAGCGUUAAAAAUUGCAAUAUGUUGCUUAUGUUGGAUGGGAACCUAGAUGGUGCGAUCAACGUUGACCGACAGGCUGAAAAACUAAUGAAGCACAUAAGUAGGGCUUGUGAUGCUGCUAUGUGUAGGAAAAGGCACAACAUAACCCAAAGGUCCGCAUACUGGUGGAACGAGGAAAUCAGCAAAUUAAGAAGCGAAUUCUAUAAAGCGAGAUGCCUCUGCCAAAGAAGCCAGGGUACGCCACACCAUACAAGACUGCCAGAAAGUUUCAAAAAUAAACAUAAAGAACUCAAGAAAGCUAUCAAAAGAAGUAAGUCCUCAAGUUUUAAAGAACUAUUGGAAAAGGUGGACGAGAAUGCGUGGGGUGACGCGCAUAAAAUAGAGAUGGCGAAAAUUAGAGGAGGUAAAAGUGAAGCACCAACCUGUCCGAUCUUUCUAGAAAAGGUGGUGAAAACGCUUUUCCGAACGCAGAAACCCCAAUCGAGUAGAACGAUACCAAGGUUAUGGAUGUGGUGCAGAGAUUUGGCAACGUAAAGGUACCUGGACUUGAUGGACAUCAACCAUAGCAAGAGACUCUAGACACGAUGUCUACAUGAAGGAGUUUUCCCGAAAACUUGGAAGAAACAGCGGCUGGUUCUUCUUCAAAAGCCAAACAAACCGGUGGUAAAGCCGAUGCAAUGAGAUAAAAAAUACUGCGCAGGGGUUACGCUUGACGUGAAAAACGCUUUCAACUCGGCAUACUAGCCUCAUAUACUGAGGGCAGUAGAGGCAAGAAACACCCCGGGGUAUCUUUUGAGGACAAUCAGCAGCUAUUUGUCUGUCAGACUCCUGCUGUGUGAUACCGAUACAGUUCCAAAAAAAAAAAAUUAUUUAAUAUUUGUCAGCUGCAAACUUUUUUAUACAUAGCCAUUUUUGAACAUUGCAAAAGAUUAGAAAUGACAUUAAAUCAUCGUUGCUUCACGGAUAUAUAGUACAUACAUAGGUGCAAAAGAUGUAUGCAACGAAGACAAGCUAUUGAUAAAAAAUGUUCAUAAAACUACAUUACUGGAUGUUUUAAAUUAUAUUUGUUUAAAUUAACUAAUAUAUUUCCGUUUAAAUAUAUUUGCGACAAUACUGCUAACACUUCCUGUGUGCAUAGCUAGUAGAGAAUGCAGUUUCUCUAAUUGAAUCAUCAAAAUCUACCUGCGUUCUGUUAUGUGUCAAAAAAACUGACAGGCUUGGCCACAUUAUCAAUUAAAAGUGAAGUAACACAAACUCUUAACAAUAAAAGAAUUGUGUGUUUUUUUUUCUUUUCAAAUAUUCUUUUAAUAAUGAAUUAUUUUUAAUUAUUACGGUUUUCGACCUCACUGUAAUUUGGUUGAAAUUUUGAUAUUGGGUAUUAUAGAUAACAGCUCAAACCGUCAAAAAAAGUGUUGGCGAACUUCAACUUUUAUUUUUGUUUUAAAUAUUUUAAUCAGUUAUUUUCUACAAAUACGUAGAAAGGUGGGAAAUUUUGCUGAGUAUCUGGAGAAAAGUCCUGAAGCUGGACGAGGCAUAUUUGGAAACAGCAAAUAUAAAAUUACGGAAGUGUGGAAUUCUGUGGGUCCCAACCCCGUUCACAGACGAACGAAUAAGGUCCCUAAGGAGUCGAUACUGAUGAUAUUGGCUAAACAGAAUACGGAAUUGUGGGAUAUGUUCCAUCGUGUCAACACUCCAGAAGGCGAUGUCAUCGUUAUGGGUAUAAACCAACACUCGUACUCAUUCCUCGAGUCUGCAUGUGAUAGGGCUCACCUUAUAUUCUUUACCAUCUAGUUCAGAGUCCUUUGAGGAAGUAAACAUUACGUUUUCCCCACAGUUCUUCAAUAGAGAAGAAUGGACCAAUUUUUUCUGUUAUCGACAGUUUCAAUGAGGAAAUCUAUAUAUUCAAUGACGGAUCUAAGGGCUUCUUCUGUAGGAACCCUUACGCAGAAAGCAGUUUAAAACUAAACUUCUAAAAUUCAGGUUUUAGGCCGAAAUUGUGGUCAUGACAGCAGUUGCCAAGAGAGCAUCUGCUUUAACAAUCAAGUCCAUAAACUUUCUAAUGGACCGCCAAGCGGCAAUUAAUCUGUAGCAAUUGGAGGAUAUAGGCACGAAAAUGAGGAAAGUUUUCCGAGCACUAUUCACUAUGGAAUGGCCAGAAAUGAUUAUUUUGCAUAUGGCCCAAGCAGCUCAUGACUUCCGGUCUUAGACCAUUUGACGACAACCCCUCCAAACGUGGUAAGGAUAACGAUUUAAAAGCAUGCAUCAGGAAUCUCUGGUCCUCAAUUGGUAAAGUGCUGCUGCCCAGCGGGUUGAAGUCAUCGUUGGAAUACGGACGGGUCAAGGACUAAUGCCUUUUGGCAUUUUCUACAGUGUCUAUAUAAAGGAGCUCAAAGUCGGUAUGGGAUUCGUAAUGGGAAAGAGACCGCCGAGUUCUAGUAUUCACGACGGAGGAUGAAUGUCUAGCCACAAUCCGCAUUAAAACGAAGUUCUCCAAUGUAAACAAAGGUAUCUUCUAUGAGCGCUUGGAGUGCACUUAUAAGAGCUGCCCGCGACGAUAUUAAAAUCGCGCUUGAUGAUUUUAACGUCAGGGUGGACAAAAAAGGUUCCUUUGGCACAAAGGUCGGUAAAUUCAGCAAUAUCCUCAAAAUAUUCGAAAUAUGAUUAUCUGUAAUACUAGAUACCAGCAUAAAAAAUUAAUCAAGGUACCUGGUUGCUUUCGGAUCGAAAAGCCACCAACCAGAUCGAUCAUGUUGUGAUAGACGGAAGGCACAUCUCCAUACCGAGAUUUGAAGAGGGAAGGGAGACGCAUUUAUAGACAGAAAAAUAGACAGAGGCCGAAAUGCGUGAAAUGUUGUUAAACAUUUGGUAUGGAAUUAAUUGACACCCUGGAUUAAAAUUAGGUUACGUCCUACAGCGAUCUAUCUAGUCUUAUCCCUAUGAGAGAAUUGAUUAAAAUAAGUUCGCGGAUAAUGUAUUGGGAACUUUGUAUGUACAUACUUUUUUCAAUUAGAAUACAUUACUUAAAAUGACGCCCAAUUUUGACGAAUACUCUUCGACUAAUAUUAAAGAGAACUGCAGAUAUGUUUAGAUUACAAUAUAAAUCCCUGAGCCUUUAGUCGCCUGUCGUGAUGUCGGGGCCGCGCGGAAUGUCAUAAAGAACGAUGAUCCGAACAGUCAGGCAUGGGAGGACAGACGACGUUGUCGGACGCAUGCGAUUUAUAUACUUUUAUGUUUUCUUUAUCGACUUUUAAACUAAGAGAACAUUCUUUGUAGUUUUUGUAAUAAACGACAACAAAAUUA